rnacentral:rRNA from 1 species
GAUGAACGCUGGCGGCGUGCUUAACACAUGCAAGUCGAACGAAGCACUUUAUUUGAUUUCCUUCGGGACUGAUUAUUUUGUGACUGAGUGGCGGACGGGUGAGUAACGCGUGGGUAACCUGCCUUGUACAGGGGGAUAACAGUUGGAAACGGCUGCUAAUACCGCAUAAGCGCACAGCAUCGCAUGAUGCAGUGUGAAAAACUGCGGUGGUAUAAGAUGGACCCGCGUUGGAUUAGCUAGUUGGUGAGGUAACGGCCCACCAAGGCGACGAUCCAUAGCCGACCUGAGAGGGUGACCGGCCACAUUGGGACUGAGACACGGCCCAAACUCCUACGGGAAGGAGCAGUGGGGAAUAUUGCACAAUGGGCGAAAGCCUGAUGCAGCGACGCCGCGUGAGCGAAGAAGUAUUUCGGUAUGUAAAGCUCUAUCAGCAGGGAAGAUAAUGACGGUACCUGACUAAGAAGCACCGGCUAAAUACGUG